rnacentral:rRNA from 1 species
AGAGUUUGAUCCUGGCUCAGGACGAACGCUGGCGGCGUGCCUAAUACAUGCAAGUAGAACGCUGAAGCUUGGUGCUUGCACCGAGCGGAUGAGUUGCGAACGGGUGAGUAACGCGUAGGUAACCUGCCUGGUAGCGGGGGAUAACUAUUGGAAACGAUAGCUAAUACCGCAUAAGAGUAGAUGUUGCAUGACAUUUGCUUAAAAGGUGCAAUUGCAUCACUACCAGAUGGACCUGCGUUGUAUUAGCUAGUUGGUGAGGUAACGGCUCACCAAGGCAACGAUACAUAGCCGACCUGAGAGGGUGAUCGGCCACACUGGGACUGAGACACGGCCCAGACUCCUACGGGAGGCAGCAGUAGGGAAUCUUCGGCAAUGGACGGAAGUCUGACCGAGCAACGCCGCGUGAGUGAAGAAGGUUUUCGGAUCGUAAAGCUCUGUUGUAAGAGAAGAACGAGUGUGAGAGUGGAAAGUUCACACUGUGACGGUAUCUUACCAGAAAGGGACGGCUAACUACGUGCCAGCAGCCGCGGUAAUACGUAGGUCCCGAGCGUUGUCCGGAUUUAUUGGGCGUAAAGCGAGCGCAGGCGGUUAGAUAAGUCUGAAGUUAAAGGCUGUGGCUUAACCAUAGUACGCUUUGGAAACUGUUUAACUUGAGUGCAAGAGGGGAGAGUGGAACUCCAUGUGUAGCGGUGAAAUGCGUAGAUAUAUGGAGGAACACCGGUGGCGAAAGCGGCUCUCUGGCUUGUAACUGACGCUGAGGCUCGAAAGCGUGGGGAGCAAACCAGGAUUAGAUACCCUGGUAGUCCACGCCGUAAACGAU